rnacentral:rRNA from 1 species
UACGGGGGGGGCAAGCGUUGUUCGGAAUUACUGGGCGUAAAGGGCUCGUAGGCGGCCAACUAAGUCGGACGUGAAAUCCCUCGGCUUAACCGGGGAACUGCGUCCGAUACUGGAUGGCUUGAGAUUGGGAGAGGGAUGCGGAAUUCCAGGUGUAGCGGUGAAAUGCGUAGAUAUCUGGAGGAACACCGGUGGCGAAGGCGGCAUCCUGGACCGGCAUUGACGCUGAGGCGCGAAAGCCAGGGGAGCAAACGGG